rnacentral:lncRNA from 10 species
AUUAAUCCCUUAAUCUUUUCUACCAUCCCAUCUACUCUGUUCAUAGGAACCAUAAUCACUUAUUCAGCUCACAGUGAUUAAUAAUCUGAAUAGGACUAGAAAUAAAUAUAUAUCAUUACCCCCAUUUUAAUCAAAUAAGCAAACCCAUGAUCCACAGAAGUAGCUACAUAUUAACACAAGCACCUCUAUCUAUACUCCUAACAAUGCUCAUUAUCAUUAUAUAUUGUACUCUGGACAAUGAAGAGUUGUAAAAAUUUCCAGCCAAACAGCAUCCCUAAUAAUUAUUAUAGCACUAGUUAUGAGAUUUGGAUUAUCACCCUUCCAUUUUGAAGUGCCAGUAGUUACACAAGAAAUCUCAGUAACAUCAGUUGUAAUUCUACUAACACAACAACUAGCACCAAUUUCAAUUAUGUUUCAGGUAUCAUCAUCAGUUGAUCUAAAUAUAAUGCUAAAAAUUGCUAUGUUGUCUGUUCUAGUAAGAGGGUGAGGAGGACUUAAUCAGACAAAACUUUGAAAAAUCUUAGCCUACACAUCAAUUGCACACAUAGGCUGAAAAACAACUACCUUCUUUUAUAGCCCUUCCACAAUAAUUCUAAAUUUACUAAUUUAUGUAAUCCUAAUACUCACCAUAUUCAUAAUAUUUAGCUUAAAUACAAACACCACAACCCUAUCACUAUCACACAUAUGGAAUAAGUUACCAUUAAUAAUUUCCAUAAUCCUUAUUACCCUUUUAUCCUUAGGUCUACCCCCACUUACAGGAUUUCUUCUCAAAUGAAUUAUUAUUCAAGAACUAACAAAAACCACACCAUCAUCAUGGCAACAUUUAAAGCUAUUAUAGUGUUACUCAACCCAUACUUUUAUAUACGAUUAAUCUAUCCUACAUCAUUAACCGUGUUUCCAACAAACAUUAACAUAAAAACAAAAUGACAGCUCACAAAUUUAAAA